rnacentral:rRNA from 1 species
ACGGGUGAGUAACACGUAUGCAACCUGCCUUCAACAAGGGGAUAACCCGUUGAAAGACGGACUAAUACCCUAUAACACAGGGGUCCCGCAUGGGGAUAUUUGUUAAAGGACAACCGGUUGAAGAUGGGCAUGCGUUCCAUUAGCUAGUUGGCGGGGUAAGGGCCCACCAAGGCAACGAUGGAUAGGGGAACUGAGAGGUUUGUCCCCCACACUGGAACUGAGACACGGACCAGACUCCUACGGGAGGCAGCAGUGAGGAAUAUUGGUCAAUGGACGAGAGUCUGAACCAGCCAAAUCGCGUGAAGGAAGACUGCCCUACGGGUUGUAAACUUCUUUUGUACAGGAAUAAAAGACAUUACGUGUAAUGUAUUGCAUGUACUGUACGAAUAAGCAUCGGCUAACUCCGUGCCAGCAGCCGCGGUAAUACGGAGGAUGCGAGCGUUAUCCGGAUUUAUUGGGUUUAAAGGGUGCGCAGGCGGGAUUUUAAGUCAGCGGUGAAAUUUUCAGGCUCAACCUGAACACUGCCGUUGAAACUGGGAUUCUUGAGUAUGGAUGAAGUAGGCGGAAUUCGUUGUGUAGCGGUGACAUGCUUAGAUAUAACGAGGAACUCCGAUUGCGUAGGCAGCUUACUAAGCCAUAACUGACGCUCAAGCACGAAAGCGUGGGGAUCAAACAGGAUUAGAUACCCUGGUAGUCCACGCCGUAAACGAUGAUUACUAGUUGUUUGCGAUAUACCGUAAGUGACUAAGCGAAAGCGACAAGUAAUCCACCUGGGGAGUACGCCGGCAACGGUGAAACUCAAAUGAAUUGAC